AUUGAACGCUGGCGGCAGGCCUAACACAUGCAAGUCGAACGGUAACAGGAAGCAGCUUGCUGCUUUGCUGACGAGUGGCGGACGUGUGAGUAAUGUCUGGGAAACUGCCUGAUGGAGGGGGAUAACUACUGGAAACGGUAGCUAAUACCGCAUAACGUCGCAAGACCAAAGAGGGGGACCUUAGGGCCUCUUGCCAUCGGAUGUGCCCAGAUGGGAUUAGCUAGUAGGUGGGGUAACGGCUCACCUAGGCGACGAUCCCUAGCUGGUCUGAGAGGAUGACCAGCCACACUGGAACUGAGACACGGUCCAGACUCCUACGGGAGGCAGCAGUGGGGAAUAUUGCACAAUGGGCGCAAGCCUGAUGCAGCCAUGCCGCGUGUAUGAAGAAGGCCUUCGGGUUGUAAAGUACUUUCAGCGGGGAGGAAGGGAGUAAAGUUAAUACCUUUGCUCAUUGACGUUACCCGCAGAAGAAGCACCGGCUAACUCCGUG
rnacentral:rRNA from 1 species